rnacentral:misc_RNA from 1 species
CAUCAUCAGCCUCAGCCGCUGCAGAUUCUGCAGCUCUCGUUGAUAAGGCUAUUGCAAAGUUGCCUGCUGAUGUUCGUGCACACGCAACUGAUUCAAAGAGAAAGGCCAAAUCACAAGAUCCUGGUUGGAAGUUUGGAUGGUGGCCAGAUCCUACCAAGAAAGAUUUCAUCCGAUGUAUUUUCUGUUUGAAAGUUGUUCCUUCUGGGAUUAAAAGGUUCAAACAGCACCUUGCCGGUGGAUUUUCUGAUACGACAAAAUGUUCAAUGGUUCCAGAAGUAGUUUCGAAGGACAUGUAUGCUUAUUUGAAAAGGAACACAAGGCUUGUGCUUUCUGUUGAAAGUGAGGAAGGAG